GGUGGAGCAUGUUGGUUUAAUUCGAAGAUACACGAAGAACCUUACCUGGCCUUGACAUGGUAGGAACCUUAAGAGAUUAGGGGUGCUAGCUUGCUAGAACCUACACACAGGUGCUGCACGGCUGUCGUCAGCUCGUGUCGUGAGAUGUUGGGUUAAGUCCCGCAACGAGCGCAACCCUCGUCCUUAGUUGCUAACAGUUCGGCUGAGCACUCUAGGGAGACUGCCUUCGCAAGGAGGAGGAAGGUGAGGACGACGUCAAGUCAUCAUGGCCCUUACGGCCAGGGCUACACACGUGCUACAAUGGGGCGUACAGAGAGCUGCGAUACCGCGAGGUGGAGCCAAUCUCUUAAAGCGUCUCUCAGUUCGGAUUGUUCUCUGCAACUCGAGAACAUGAAGCUGGAAUCACUAGUAAUCGCAGAUCAGCUAUGCUGCGGUGAAUACGUUCCCGGGUCUU
rnacentral:rRNA from 1 species